rnacentral:ncRNA from 1 species
CUGAGGGGACUAUCGCCGUUUUAGGGCCGAUGGAAGUUUGAGGCAAUAACAGGUCUGUGAUGCCCUUAGAUGUUCUGGGCCGCACGCACGCUACACUGAUGUAUUCAACGAGUAUAUAGCCUUGGCCGACAGGCCCGGGUAAUCUUGGGAAAUUUCAUCGUGAUGGGGAUAGAUCAUUGCAAUUGUUGGUCUUCAACGAGGAAUGCCUAGUAAGCGCGAGUCA